GUGCUCGCUUAGGCAGCACAUAUACUAAAAUUGGAAUGAUACAAAGAUUAGCAUGGCUCCUGUGCAUGGAUGACAGGCAAAUCUGUGAAGCGUUCCGUAUUUUU